GGCCACAUAACUCAGUGGCUAGAGCGUUGGCUGUACUAAAGCCAUGCUCUUGCUCGCGUGGGUUCGAAUCCCACCGAUGCCA
rnacentral:tRNA from 1 species